AGUGGCGAACGGGUGAGUAACACGUGAGCAACCUGCCCUUGACACUGGGAUAAGCGAUUGAAAAGUCGUCUAAUACCGGAUAUGACUCUCACAGGCAUCUGUGAGGGUGGAAAUGCUCCGGCGGUCAAGGAUGGGCUCGCGGCCUAUCAGCUUGUUGGUGAGGUAACGGCUCACCAAGGCUUCGACGGGUAGCCGGCCUGAGAGGGCGACCGGCCACACUGGGACUGAGAUACGGCCCAGACUCCUACGGGAGGCAGCAGUGGGGAAUAUUGCGCAAUGGGCGAAAGCCUGACGCAGCAACGCCGCGUGCGGGAUGACGGCCUUCGGGUUGUAAACCGCUUUCAGCAGGGACGAAGGGUUUCUGACGGUACCUGCAGAAGAAGCACCGGCCAACUACGUGCCAGCAGCCGCGGUGAUACGUAGGGUGCGAGCGUUGUCCGGAAUUAUUGGGCGUAAAGAGCUUGUAGGCGGUUUGUCACGUCGGAAGUGAAAACUCAGGGCUUAACCCUGAGCCUGCUUCCGAUACGGGCAGACUAGAGGAAGGUAGGGGAGAAUGGAACUCCUGGUGGAGCGGUGGAAUGCGCAGAUAUCAGGAAGAACACCGGUGGCGAANGCGGUUCUCUGGACCUUUCCUGACGCUGAGAAGCGAAAGCGUGGGGAGCAAACAGGCUUA
rnacentral:rRNA from 1 species